rnacentral:rRNA from 1 species
AUACGGAGGGUGCGAGCAUUAAUCGGAAUUACUGGGCGUAAAGGGUCCGUAGGCGGUCUGCUUAGUCUGAUGUGAAAGCCCCGGGCUUAACCUGGGAAUGGCAUUGGAUACUGGCGGACUAGAGUCUGGUAGAGGGUGGUGGAAUUCCCGGUGUAGCGGUGAAAUGCGUAGGUAUCGGGAGGAACACCAGUGGCGAAGGCGGCCACCUGGACCAAGACUGACGCUGAGGGACGAAAGCGUGGGGAGCAAACAGGAUUAGAAACCCUUGUAGUCC